rnacentral:rRNA from 1 species
AUUGAACGCUGGCGGCAUGCUUUACACAUGCAAGUCGAACGGUAACAGGGAGCUUGCUCCGCUGACGAGUGGCGAACGGGUGAGUAAUGCGUCGGAACGUGCCGAGUAGUGGGGGAUAACGCAUCGAAAGGUGUGCUAAUACCGCAUACGUACUGAGGUAGAAAGUGGGGGACCUUCGGGCCUCACGCUAUUCGAGCGGCCGACGUCUGAUUAGCUAGUGGGUGAGGUAAAGGCUCACCAAGGCGACGAUCAGUAGCGGGUCUGAGAGGAUGAUCCGCCACACUGGGACUGAGACACGGCCCAGACUCCGACGGGAGGCAGCAGUGGGGAAUUUUGGACAAUGGGCGCAAGCCUGAUCCAGCCAUGCCGCGUGUCUGAAGAAGGCCUUCGGGUUGUAAAGGACUUUUGUCCGGGAGCAAAUGCUGGUGGCUAACAUCCACCGGAGCUGAGAGUACCGGAAGAAUAAGCACCGGCUAACUACGUGCCAGCCGCCGCAGUAACAC